GAGAGUAGGCGUAGGCAGUUGCAGAUCAGUUAUCAACACUGGUUUGAGGAAAGUCCGGGCUUCCGAAAGACCAAACUUGCUGGAUAACGUCCAGUGCGAGUGAUCGUGAGGAUAGUGCCACAGAAAGAUACCGCCCAUCAAUUUUAAAUUGGUUGGUAAGGGUGCAAAGGUGCGGUAAGAGCGCACCAGCAGCAUCGAGAGGUGCUGGCUCGGUAAACCCCGGUUGGGAGCAAGGCCAGAGGAACUAUGGUUGGUCUUUUACCAGUUCCGUUAAACAAGAGCCGCUAGAGGUGUCUGGUAACAGGCAUCCCAGAUAGAUAACUGCCCUCGAAAGAGAACAGAACCCGGCUUACUACCGACUCUCUUCU
rnacentral:RNase_P_RNA from 1 species